UACGUAGGGUGCAAGCGUUGUCCGGAAUUAUUGGGCGUAAAGAGCUCGUAGGCGGUUUGUCGCGUCGGCUGUGAAAACUCGGGGCUCAACCCCGAGCCUGCAGUCGAUACGGGCAAACUAGAGUGUGGUAGGGGAGACUGGAAUUCCUGGUGUAGCGGUGAAAUGCGCAGAUAUCAGGAGGAACACCGGCGGCGAAGGCGGGUCUCUGGGCCGUAACUGACGCUGAGGAGCGAAAGCGUGGGGAGCGAACAGG
rnacentral:rRNA from 1 species